rnacentral:rRNA from 1 species
UACAGAGGUCUCAAGCGUUGUUCGGAUUCAUUGGGCGUAAAGGGUGCGUAGGCGGCGCGGUAAGUCGGAUGUGAAAUCUCGGAGCUUAACUUCGAAACUGCAUUCGAUACUGCCGUGCUUGAGGACUGGAGAGGAGACUGGAAUUUACGGUGUAGCGGUGAAAUGCGUAGAUAUCGUAAGGAAGACCAGUGGCGAAGGCGGGUCUCUGGACAGGUCCUGACGCUGAGGCACGAAGGUCAGGGGAGCAAACGGG